rnacentral:rRNA from 1 species
UACGGAGGGUGCAAGCGUUAUCCGGAUUCACUGGGUUUAAAGGGAGCGUAGGUGGGUUGGUAAGUCAGUGGUGAAAUCCCCGAGCUUAACUUGGGAACUGCCAUUGAUACUAUCAGUCUUGAAUACUGUGGAGGUUAGCGGAAUAUGUCAUGUAGCGGUGAAAUGCUUAGAUAUGACAUAGAACACCAAUUGCGAAGGCAGCUGGCUACACAAAUAAUUGACACUGAGGCUCGAAAAGCGUGGGGAUCAAAACAGGA